rnacentral:misc_RNA from 1 species
GAUGAAGAACGCAGCGAAAUGCGAUACGUAGUGUGAAUUGCAGAAUUCAGUGAAUCAUCGAAUCUUUGAACGCACAUUGCACCUCUCGGUAUUCCGGGAGGUAUGCCUGUUCGAGCGUCAUUUACACCCUCAAGCCUAGCUUGGUGUUGGGCGUCUGUCCCGCCGUUCUCGCGCGCGGACUCGCCUCAAAGUCAUUGGCGGCGGUCGUGCCGGCCCCCUCGCGCAGCACAUUUGCGCUUCUCGGAGGCCCGGCGGAUCCGCGCUCCAGCAAGACCUUUCACGACUUGACCUCGGAUCAGGUAGGGAUACCCGCUGAACUUAAGCAUAUCAAUAAGCGGAGGA